CCUUCGGGAGUGACGAGUGGCGGACGGGUGAGUAACGCGUAGGAAUCUGCCUUAUAGUGGGGGACAACGUGGGGAAACCCACGCUAAUACCGCAUACGCCCUACGGGGGAAAGGAGGGGAUCUUCGGACCUUUCGCUAUGAGAUGAGCCUGCGUUAGAUUAGCUAGUUGGUAGGGUAAAGGCCUACCAAGGCGACGAUCUAUAGCUGGUCUGAGAGGACGAUCAGCCACACUGGGACUGAGACACGGCCCAGACUCCUACGGGAGGCAGCAGUGGGGAAUAUUGGACAAUGGGCGCAAGCCUGAUCCAGCAAUACCGCGUGUGUGAAGAAGGCCUUAGGGUUGUAAAGCACUUUCAAUGGGGAGGAAAACCUGCCGGUCAAUACCCGGUAGCUUGACAUUACCUAUAGAAGAAGCACCGGCUAACUCCGUGCCAGCAGCCGCGGUAAUACGGAGGGUGCGAGCGUUAAUCGGAAUUACUGGGCGUAAAGCGUGCGUAGGCGGUUCGUUAAGUCAGAUGUGAAAGCCCUGGGCUCAACCUGGGAACUGCAUUUGAAACUGGCGGACUAGAGUUUAGUAGAGGGGAGUGGAAUUUCAGGUGUAGCGGUGAAAUGCRUAGAUAUCUGAAGGAACACCAGUGGCGAAGGCGACUCCCUGGACUAAAACUGACGCUGAGGUACGAAAGCGUGGGUAGCAAACAGGAUUAGAUACCCUGGUAGUCCACGCCGUAAACGAUGUCAACUAGCCGUUGGUCCUAUAUACAGGAUUAGUGGCGCAGCUAACGCAUUAAGUUGACCGCCUGGGGAGUACGGCCGCAAGGUUAAAACUCAAAUGAAUUGACGGGGGCCCGCACAAGCGGUGGAGCAUGUGGUUUAAUUCGAUGCAACGCGAAGAACCUUACCUACCCUUGACAUCCAGAGAAUCAA
rnacentral:rRNA from 1 species